rnacentral:rRNA from 1 species
CUGAUGCAGCGACGCCGCGUGAGGGAUGACGGCCUUCGGGUUGUAAACCUCUUUCAGCUCUGAAGAAGCGAAAGUGACGGUAGGAGCAGAAGAAGCACCGGCUAACUACGUGCCAGCAGCCGCGGUAAUACGUAGGGUGCGAGCGUUGUCCGGAAUUAUUGGGCGUAAAGAGCUUGUAGGCGGUUUGUCGCGUCUGCUGUGAAAGCCCGGGGCUUAACCCCGGGUCUGCAGUGGGUACGGGCAGGCUAGAGUGUGGUAGGGGAGACUGGAAUUCCUGGUGUAGCGGUGGAAUGCGCAGAUAUCAGGAGGAACACCGAUGGCGAAGGCAGGUCUCUGGGCCAUUACUGACGCUGAGAAGCGAAAGCAUGGGGAGCGAACAGGAUUAGAUACCCUGGUAGUCCAUGCCGUAAACGUUGGGCGCUAGGUGUGGGUCACAUUCCACGUGAUCUGUGCCGCAGCUAACGCAUUAAGCGCCCCGCCUGGGGAGUACGGCCGCAAGGCUAAAACUCAAA